GUACUGAGACGGCGUCGGGUGCGUAACGCGUAUACAAUCUGCCUUUCACUGGGGGAUAGCCCGAAGAAAUUUGGAUUAAUACCCCAUAGUAUAGUAGUGUGGCAUCACACAACUAUUAAAGCCUUGGUGGUGAAAGAUGAGUAUGCGUUCUAUUAGCUAGUUGGAGAGGUAACGGCUCCCCAAGGCUACGAUAGAUAGGGGUUCUGAGAGGGAUGUCCCCCACACUGGUACUGAGAUACGGACCAGACUCCUACGGGAGGCAGCAGUGAGGAAUAUUGGACAAUGGUCGGAAGACUGAUCCAGCCAUGCCGCGUGCAGGAUGAAGGUCUUAUGGAUUGUAAACUGCUUUUGUAAGGGAAGAAUAAGGAGUACGUGUACUUUGAUGACGGUACCUUAUGAAUAAGCAUCGGCUAACUCCGUGCCAGCAGCCGCGGUAAUACGGAGGAUGCGAGCGUUAUCCGGAAUCAUUGGGUUUAAAGGGUCUGUAGGCGGGCUGGUAAGUCAGAGGUGAAAGCGCUUAGCUCAACUAAGCAACUGCCUUUGAAACUGUUGGUCUUGAAUGGUUGUGAAGUAGUUGGAAUGUGUAGUGUAGCGGUGAAAUGCUUAGAUAUUACACAGAACACCGAUAGCGAAGGCAUAUUACUAACAAUUAAUUGACGCUGAUGGACGAAAGCGUGGGGAGCGAACAGGAUUAGAUACCCUGGUAGUCCACGCUGUAAACGAUGGAUACUAGCUGUUUGGAGUAAUCUGAGUGGCUAAGCGAAAGUGAUAAGUAUCCCAC
rnacentral:rRNA from 1 species